CGAGUGAGGGCCCUCUGGGUCCAACCUCCCACCCGUGUCUAUCGUACCUUGUUGCUUCGGCGGGCCCGCCGUUUCGACGGCCGCCGGGGAGGCCCUGCGCCCCCGGGCCCGCGCCCGCCGAAGACCCCAACAUGAACGCUGUUCUGAAAGUAUGCAGUCUGAGUUGAUUAUCGUAAUCAGUUAAAACUUUCAACAACGGAUCUCUUGGUUCCGGCAUCGAUGAAGAACGCAGCGAAAUGCGAUAAGUAAUGUGAAUUGCAGAAUUCAGUGAAUCAUCGAGUCUUUGAACGCACAUUGCGCCCCCUGGUAUUCCGGGGGGCAUGCCUGUCCGAGCGUCAUUGCUGCCCUCAAGCACGGCUUGUGUGUUGGGCCCCCGUCCCCCUCUCCCGGGGGACGGGCCCGAAAGGCAGCGGCGGCACCGCGUCCGGUCCUCGAGCGUAUGGGGCUUUGUCACCUGCUCUGUAGGCCCGGCCGGCGCCAGCCGACACCCAACUUUAUUUUUCUAAGGUUGACCUCGGAUCAGGUAGGGAUACCCGCUGAA
rnacentral:rRNA from 1 species